rnacentral:lncRNA from 1 species
CGAACCAUUGCUUCAUAUUCUCUCCGCGGCAAUCCAGACUGGUUUCGAACCGUGACCAUCAUAUCCAGAUUCUCCUUCCGCCUUCCCGACCUCACAGCCGCACAAACGACGCGCCGUAUUUGCGCAAUCAUUUCUUCGACGUCGUUAAACGGCACGCCGUCCUCAACGAUACGCCCAAUUACAGUCAACAUCCUGUCGAUGACUCCAACCCCGUUCUCGUCAGUUUCCGUAAACAGCCAAAAUUCCAUAUCGCGAAACGUCGCCGUUUUGAAAUCGACGUCCACGAUCGGCCGCGUGCGGUCGUCGGAACAGUAAAAGCUUCUGAUCACCUUCCAGACAAUCGAGACCUUCCAGUCGUCGUCGUGUCGCGAUUUUCUUUUCUUCGUGGGAAUUAGGUCAAGAUCAAGAUCGUGGUGGUCGUCGGCGACACAGAUCUGGUAAGCGAAAUCGUAAUCGCAGUGAGUCGCGGAAGGGAAGUACUCUUCUUCGUGAUUGUUGGGAUUUAGGGUUUGCAUCUUUGAAUUGAGAGAGAGAGAGAGAGAGAGAGAGAACCAGUGAGAACGAGAACG